rnacentral:rRNA from 1 species
UACCAGCACCCCGAGUGGUCGGGACGAUUAUUGGGCCUAAAGCAUCCGUAGCCGGUUUUACAAGUCCACCGUUAAAUCCAGCUGCUUAACAGAUGGGCUGCGGAGGAUACUAUAAGACUAGGAGGCAGGAGAGGCAAGCGGUACUCAGUGGGUAGGGGUAAAAUCCGUUGAUCCAUUGAAGACCACCAGUGGCGAAGGCGGCUUGCCAGAAUGCGCUCGACGGUGAGGGAUGAAAGCUGGGGGAGCAAACCGG